UAGGGAAUCUUCCACAAUGGGCGCAAGCCUGAUGGAGCAACACCGCGUGAGUGAAGAAGUAUCUCGGUAUGUAAAGCUCUAUCAGCAGGGAAGAAAGAAAUGACGGUACCUGAGUAAGAAGCCCCGGCUAACUACGUGCCAGCAGCCGCGGUAAUACGUAGGGGGCAAGCGUUAUCCGGAAUUACUGGGUGUAAAGGGAGCGUAGACGGUGAAGUAAGUCUGGAGUGAAAGGCGGGGGCCCAACCCCCGGACUGCUCUGGAAACUAUUUGACUGGAGUGCAGGAGAGGUAAGCGGAGUUCCUAGUGUAGCGGUGAAAUGCGUAGAUAUUAGGAGGAACACCAGUGGCGAAGGCGGCUUACUGGACUGUAACUGACGUUGAGGCUCGAAAGCGUGGGGAGCAAACAGG
rnacentral:rRNA from 1 species